rnacentral:rRNA from 1 species
UACGUAGGGUGCGAGCGUUGUCCGGAAUUAUUGGGCGUAAAGAGCUUGUAGGCGGUUUGUCGCGUCUGCCGUGAAAAUUCGAGGCUCAACCUCGAACUUGCGGUGGGUACGGGCAGACUAGAGUGUGGUAGGGGAGACUGGAAUUCCUGGUGUAGCGGUGAAAUGCGCAGAUAUCAGGAGGAACACCGAUGGCGAAGGCAGGUCUCUGGGCCACUACUGACGCUGAGAAGCGAAAGCAUGGGGAGCGAAACAGG